rnacentral:lncRNA from 1 species
AUGAAUUUAUUGGAUUACAAGGUUAGCAAGCAUGGAGUGCACAAGGUGCUGAUCGAAGCCUCGGUGGGCAUGCAUCGGCUAAGGGACUAUCCGGUGACAAAGUUGUUUGGUGUGGAAAUUCAAAGAAUCAUGUAUCAACUCCUAAAGGGAGUAGCCCAUAUCCCCAGUAAGGUUGUCAUGCACAAGGCAUUGACACCCAAAAAUGUCUACUUCAACAGCUAUGGCACACAACGAUGUUUUGAAGAGUUAGGGUUAGGGAUUUUGUAUUUGGUCUAAUAG